AAAAUAUGGCAGGUUUUCUCCAGCAACUAAAAGCUCCUGGAAGGUUCUAGCCAAGAUGGGAAAUGGAAGACUCAGUACCAGGCAGAUUUGGCAGAAUGAGAGAAUUGGAUAUAGAGGACCUUCUAUCAGAGCCAGCUGACCAGCCCACACCUGUGGUCAAAACCAAUAAAACACAGACGUCCAAAGUUGGGGCUAAGCUCGCUGACGCAAGGGAGAACGUGGCUCGGGAGCACAUCCACAGGGGAGGAACCAGACGCGCUGCACGAACGGGACAGAUGCUGAGCGACGGUCUCGGGAGCACUGGAGGAAGCGUGCAGGAGCUCGGUGCUUGGCCUGAUGUGGUCAGUGAGGCUAAGUGAACAUCAACUGAAGGCCAGUUAUGGGCCAGGCACCGAGGCUACAAUAGCAGGUAAAAAAGGACAGUCCUCGCCCUCUGGGGAUCAGAGACGUCCAAACACACUGGCGUUUCUGAGGUCAGACCGUGUGACAGCGGUGGUGCCAGGCAAUGAGUCAUGCCAUGCUUGGUCAGUCAAACACAGGACACGUGUGUCUUCAGCUGUACUCUCGGAUUUCAUUUCAUUUUUGUUUGCUCUUGACUUGAACAAACAUGAAGAGUUAACAGUGAACGUGGACAUGGAGAAGUUAUGAGGAAAUGCACAAACUCACUGACCUGGUGUUCCUUGUAACUACACAGGAAAAUGUAGUCGCCCACCUUGGGUUCGGCCUGUCUUCACGGAAACAAAAUGAAAUCUAUACUACUCAUCAUUUGUAUGUGGAGCAAUUGUGGCCUGUGGAUUUCUAAAAUACAGAUUUUUUAAAGUUUUCAAAUUCAGAAAAGAUAUUUAAAGGAAUUGGUGGUUCAAGGUCAGAGGGGUUACUAAGGAGAAACAAAAGGAUUUCACAUUCCAAGUCCUUACCGUGGGCUAUAGGUCCCUACUGCACUGGCCCCACCGCUCUCUCUUCCCUCAUUCUGUUCCAGUCAUACUGGCCUCCUUGGCCUCACCAAGCCUACUCCCAUUCCAGAGGCUUUGCUCUCAUGUAAGCUACUGCCCAGGAAGCCCACAGGGUGUUUCGCACGGCCCACCCCUGCGCUCAGGCCCUGCGCCAGGGUCACUUCUGCAGAGGACUCCCCUGCCCCUCCCUUACCUCUCUUUGAA